rnacentral:rRNA from 1 species
UACGUAGGUCCCGAGCGUUGUCCGGAUUUAUUGGGCGUAAAGCGAGCGCAGGUGGUUUAUUAAGUCUGGUGUAAAAGGCAGUGGCUCAACCAUUGUGUGCAUUGGAAACUGGUAGACUUGAGUGCAGGAGAGGAGAGUGGAAUUCCAUGUGUAGCGGUGAAAUGCGUAGAUAUAUGGAGGAACACCGGUGGCGAAAGCGGCUCUCUGGCCUGUAACUGACACUGAGGCUCGAAAGCAUGGGGAGCAAACAGG